rnacentral:rRNA from 1 species
CGCGUAGGCGGCUUUGUAAGUCGGAUGUGAAAGCCCUGGGCUCAACCUGGGAAUUGCAUUCGAUACUGCAGAACUAGAGUAUGGUAGAGGGAAGUGGAAUUUCCGGUGUAGCGGUGAAAUGCGUAGAUAUCGGAAGGAACACCAGUGGCGAAGGCGACUUCCUGGGCCAAUACUGACGCUGAGGUGCGAAAGCGUGGGGAGCGAACAGGAUUAGAUACCCUGGUAGUCC